GGGGUGAAGAUAAGACGGAUUAGCGGCGGACGGGUGAGUAACACGUGAGUAACCUGCCUUUUACACAGGGAUAGCCUCGGGAAACCGGGAUUAAAACCUGAUGAAACUAUCAAAUCACAUGAUUAAGAAAGUUAAAACUCCGGUGGUAAAAGAUGGACUCGCGUCCCAUUAGCUAGUUGGUGAAGGUAACGGCCCACCAAGGCAACGAUGGGUAGCCGGCCUGAGAGGGUGAACGGCCACAUUGGAACUGAGAAACGGUCCAAACUCCUACGGGAGGCAGCAGCA
rnacentral:rRNA from 1 species